AUAUACAGAACAUUAUGCCCCACAGAACACGGAUGUGUUUUGGUCCCCUAUGAAGACUAACCCCAGAUUCCUUUUGGGUGUGCUAUUAAUAGACCAGCCAUUUUGGGGGCCCUGCUCUGAGUACACCCC
rnacentral:snoRNA from 1 species